AUUGAACGCUGGCGGCAGGCCUAACACAUGCAAGUCGAGCGGAUGAAGGGAGCUUGCUCCUGGAUUCAGCGGCGGACGGGUGAGUAAUGCCUAGGAAUCUGCCUGGUAGUGGGGGAUAACGUCCUGAAACGGGCGCUAAUACCGCAUACGUCCUGAGGGAGAAAGUGGGGGAUCUUCGGACCUCACGCUAUCAGAUGAGCCUAGGUCGGAUUAGCUAGUUGGUGGGGUAAAGGCCUACCAAGGCGACGAUCCGUAACUGGUCUGAGAGGAUGAUCAGUCACACUGGAACUGAGACACGGUCCAGACUCCUACGGGAGGCAGCAGUGGGGAAUAUUGGACGAUGGGCGAAAGCCUGAUCCAGCCAUGCCGCGUGUGUGAAGAAGGUCUUCGGAUUGUAAAGCACUUUAAGUUGGGAGGAAGGGCAGUAAGUUAAUAACUUGCUGUUUUGACGUUACCAACAGAAUAAGCACCGGCUAACUUCGUG
rnacentral:rRNA from 1 species